UACGUAGGGUGCAAGCGUUGUCCGGAAUUAUUGGGCGUAAAGAGCUCGUAGGCGGUCUGUCGCGUCGGCUGUGAAAACCCGGGGCUCAACCCCGGGCCUGCAGUCGAUACGGGCAGGCUCGAGUUCGGUAGGGGAGACUGGAAUUCCUGGUGUAGCGGUGAAAUGCGCAGAUAUCAGGAGGAACACCGGUGGCGAAGGCGGGUCUCUGGGCCGAUACUGACGCUGAGGAGCGAAAGCGUGGGGAGCGAACAGG
rnacentral:rRNA from 1 species